CUUUGUGGAGGUCAGCGGAACAAACUGAGGUUUUCGGUCAGCGAAUAAUAUGCUUUAUGAUAGGGUAAAAUUUGCAGGAGUAUAAAGUCUCGAUGAUUCGAUCGGUUGCAGUCAACUGCAUUGCUUGUAAUACGUCGAGGUCAUGAAGCAGCAUCGACUAUCCACUCGCAAGCGCCUUACAAAGCCAAUAUUAUUUGGAACCUUACUCGUGAGUCUUGCUACUGCCUUUUAUAACAGGCACGUGUUCUUUGAAGACAUCGCAGACCUGCGGGCCCGGGAGCGAGCGCGGAACGACGCCAAGCUACUGGAGAUCCUGGAACGAAGGCAGCGACAGAUGGAGGAGCUGGCUGAUAAAAAGGGCGGGCCAGACAAGUGAGGGCGUGGCUCCCGGCCCUCUGGGUUUCAACGGACACUGGCGGGGGGCAGACCUUGUUUUGACGGGGAUUUGGGGGUGUAGAGGAAUAUGCCAUUCUACAUCGGUAGAUGUGGACAGAUGAACAGAAGGAAGUCAUAAGAUUCUGGGAAGCAGACGUGUGUACCUUGAAUGUAUGGUCAGCACUACCGUGUGUGUGGUGUGUGUUUAAGAAUAACUCUAUAAGGGACCAGGGUACAGUGGAACCUGUGAGUGCCAAAUAUAUUAAACAAAAUAAACUCUAUGCGUAUGAUAACCCAGCUGUACCUGAAAAGAAGAAAAAUGUGAAAAAUUGUAAAUCUACAUUUAAGAGACUCAAUAUGUAUUUUUUUGGAAACAAAAAUCUUUUACAGAGUGGAAUUGGUUUGUGUUGUCCCAAAUAAAAGCAGGUGACAUUU